CAUGCCCGACAUUGUUUUUUCUAUCGAUUUUCCUUCAAUUUGACGUCACGAUUUUCGUCGACGCAAGAGUUUGACAGUUCUCUUCAGUUGGACUUGUUUGAACAUGAUUGCUGUUGAGCUUCGCAAGGAUUUUGGCCGGUUGAUAGGUUUCCUGAUUUCGGUUAUCGUGGUGGUGGAGGCGAAGGAGGAUGGGAAAUAGAGAUAACCCGGCGGCCAUGCCGGAAGACGGGAUGGGAAGGAACCAAUCUGUGGUCGAGGAAGCGGAUGUUUUAUUUUCCACGGGAGAUUGCGGUGCAUUCCCAAAAGAGAAAAAGGAUUAAAUACCAAGUUCUGGUCAAGGGAACAUAAA